CCGCAAUGGACGAAAGUCUGACGGAGCGACGCCGCGUGGAUGAUGAAGGCCGAAAGGUUGUAAAGUCCUUUUGCUGGGGAAGAAUAAGUGUGGGAGGGAAUGCCCGCAUGAUGACAUGAACCGGCGAAUAAGCCCCGGCCAACUACGUGCCAGCAGCCGCGGUAACACGUAGGGGGCGAGCGUUGUUCGGAAUUACUGGGCGUAAAGGGCAUGUAGGCGGUCUGGUAAGCCUGGCGUGAAAGGCCACAGCUCAACUGUGGGAUUGCGUUGGGAACUGCUGGGCUUGAGUUAUGGAGAGGGAGCUAGAAUUCCUGGUGUAGGGGUGAAAUCUGUAGAUAUCAGGAAGAAUACCGAUGGCGAAGGCAAGCUCCUGGCCGAUGACUGACGCUGAGGUGCGAAAGUGUGGGGAUCAAACAGGAUUAGAUAUCCCUGGUAGUCCACACUGUAAAUCGAUGUGCACUAGGUGCUNGGNCCGGUAGCUUCCAGUGCCCCGG
rnacentral:rRNA from 1 species